rnacentral:rRNA from 1 species
AUGGUGAAGAACUUCAACAAGUUCUACAAGAGUAGAAGCAAAGAUAGAAGCUUCAAGUCAAGGUCCUACAAUGACAAAAGAUCUUCUAGUCAAGAGCGAAACUGCUACAACUGUGGAAGACCCGGACACUUCUCCAAUGUGUGUAUGGCUCCCUACAAGAGAAGAGAAGAUUCUCCAAAAAGAAGAAGCAAAGAAUCAUCACCAAGAGAGAGAAGGAGUAGAGAUGAUCGUUAUGAACGAAGAUACUCAUGGAGAAGCAAGGAUUCGGAAAGGAAGGAAAAAUCAUCAAGAAGCUACACAAGACGAAGACAUCAAGCUCAUGUUGGUGAAUGGGUAUCCGGCUCUGACUCCGACAGCCACUCCGAAAGAAGUUAUCACUCCGACUCCGAAGAUACUCAAGAUGAAGGUGUUGCCGGUCUAGCACUUGUGUCAACCAACUCCUACGACAUAUUUGACUCACCAAAUGAAGGAAUUGGAAGAUGCUUCAUGGCCAAAGGUCCUAAGGGAAAGGAGUGUACAAAAGCCUUGCUGGGAGUAAGCAAUUCGAGGAAAUUGUGCGCAAGCAAGGAAUGCACCGGAAGAAUCAAGGUGUUGGUUUUGAACGAAAGUUCAAUGCCAAUGGAGUUGAGUGGGAAGAAGAUCAAUACCCCAAGACAAAGUUUAUUCCUCAACAAGAGAAGUAUGAUACUUCUUUCAAGGGGACACAAGCUCAAGAUGAUAUUCCACCACAAGACUACAAGCAAAAAGGCAAGGACAAGCUUCAAGAGGAAAUUGAUGCAUUUGAAGAAGCUCCAAAGACCUUAG